AGUGAACGCUGGCGGUAGGCCUAACACAUGCAAGACGAACGGCAGCACAGGAGAGCUUGCUCUCUGGGUGGCGAGUGGCGGACGGGUGAGGAAUACAUCGGAAUCUACUCUGUCGUGGGGGAUAACGUAGGGAAACUUACGCUAAUACCGCAUACGACCUACGGGUGAAAGCAGGGGACCUUCGGGCCUUGCGCGAUUGAAUGAGCCGAUGUCGGAUUAGCUAGUUGGCGGGGUAAAGGCCCACCAAGGCGACGAUCCGUAGCUGGUCUGAGAGGAUGAUCAGCCACACUGGAACUGAUACACGGUCCAGACUCCUACGGGAGGCAGCAGUGGGGAAUAUUGGACAAUGGGCGCAAGCCUGAGCCAGCCAUACCGCGUGGGUGAAGAAGGCCUUCGGGUUGUAAAGCCCUUUUGUUGGGAAAGAAAUCCAGCUGGCUAAUACCCGGUUGGGAUGACGGUACCCAAAGAAUAAGCACCGGCUAACUUCGUGCCAGCAGCCGCAGUAA
rnacentral:rRNA from 1 species